rnacentral:rRNA from 1 species
GACGAACGCUGGCGGCGCGCCUAACACAUGCAAGUCGAACGAGCGAGCGAGAGCUUGCUUUCUCGAGCGAGUGGCGAACGGGUGAGUAACGCGUGAGGAACCUGCCUCAAAGAGGGGGACAACAGUUGGAAACGACUGCUAAUACCGCAUAAGCCCACGGUGCCGCAUGGCACAGAGGGAAAAGGAGCAAUCCGCUUUGAGAUGGCCUCGCGUCCGAUUAGCUAGUUGGUGAGGUAAUGGCCCACCAAGGCGACGAUCGGUAGCCGGACUGAGAGGUUGAACGGCCACAUUGGGACUGAGACACGGCCCAGAAUCCUACGGGAGGCAGCAGUGGGGAAUAUUGCACAAUGGGGGAAACCCUGAUGCAGCGACGCCGGGUGGAGGAAGAAGGUCUUCGGAUUGUGAACUCCUGUUGUUGGGGAAGAUAAUGACGGUACCCAACAAGGAAGUGACGGCUAACUACGUG